rnacentral:rRNA from 1 species
GACGAACCGUGCGAACGUUGUUCGGAAUCACUGGGCUUAAAGGGCGCGUAGGCGGGCUAUCAAGUCCGGGGUGAAAUCCUCCAGCUCAACUGGAGAACUGCCUCGGAUACUGGGUGCCUCGAGGGUGGUAGGGGUAUGCGGAACUAUCGGUGGAGCGGUGAAAUGCGUAGAUAUCGGGAGGAACACCAGUGGCGAAGGCGACUACCUGGCCUGUUCUUGACGCUGAGGCGCGAAAGCUAGGGGAGCAAACGGG